rnacentral:rRNA from 1 species
AGCGAACGCUGGCGGCAGGCCUAACACAUGCAAGUCGAACGAACCCUUCGGGGUUAGUGGCGGACGGGUGAGUAACACGUGGGAACGUGCCUUUAGGUUCGGAAUAACUCAGGGAAACUUGUGCUAAUACCGAAUGUGCCCUUCGGGGGAAAGAUUUAUCGCCUUUAGAGCGGCCCGCGUCUGAUUAGCUAGUUGGUGAGGUAAUGGCUCACCAAGGCUACGAUCAGUAGCUGGUCUGAGAGGAUGUACAGCCACAUUGGGACUGAGACACGGCCCAAACUCCUACGGGAGGCAGCAGUGGGGAAUCUUGCGCAAUGGGCGAAAGCCUGACGCAGCCAUGCCGCGUGGAUGAUGAAGGUCUUAGGAUUGUAAAAUCCUUUCACCGGUGAAGAUAAUGACUGUAGCCGGAGAAGAAGCCCCGGCUAACUUCGUGCCAGCCGCCGCGGUAAUAC